UAAAUCUCAAAACCAAUUGAAACAACUCUAAAUUUAGAGUUGAAUUUACUCUGUGUUUUUUGUCAAUUCGUUUUGGAAAUAUUAACAAAAUUAUUGCGUUGAUUCUACCAUGAACGACGUUGAAUCAACUUUAAUGUGUUUUUUGAUUCAAAUGAAAUUAAUUGAUAUUCACACGUGUUGCUAUCUGUCAAAAUGUUCAGUUUUCCUGAUUUUGAUCAGUGGCGAAGUUCGUUUAAUUCGUGCCGUGCGGCAAUUACGUUCGUGGUAUUUCAUCCAUGUAUUACGCCUGCCGUGAGCAAAGUUUUACGUGAGAAGUUAGAGCGCGGAAUUCGGGGUGAUUUGAUCGCCACCCAACUAAGCCAACUCAUCAUCGACAAGCGGAAGCUGCCACCAAGUUUAGCAGACUUCACAAAAUUCCCCAACAUAUCAACCCUCUACGGAACAUGACCGACCUCUGCAGAAAACAACGUAACCUCGAUCCACCGGGGACGCCAAUGGCAACAUGGCCAAUUCAACAUGGAAGGCAAUUUCACCAACUCGUUGUUUCAUCAGACGGUGGCGGAGGCAAGGACACAAGGUGCGGUUCAGCAGUACUCGGACAGAACAAGGGGAAACACUCUAAGUAGCAGAUUUAAAAAUAUAUUUUUCCAAUAAAAAAUGCUAAUAUCGAUGAA